GAAACAAAGAAAUCAAGGUGAAAUUACAGCCACCUACUGGGAGUUUAUUCCAUAAAAUCCAUGCAACAAUACUUGAGGACAACUACAGUCUACAUUUGAAAUGCAGAUCAGAUUUCUACAUGCUCUGGAUUCAUAAGGAGAACAUCAUCAUUUUAAGCAAGACCUGUGAAAAGGUGCUUGUGCUGUUGAAGUCCAGUGGUAUUUUGAACAAUGCAGCUUGCUGAGGACAUAGAUGAACAAGUAAGUCAGAAUCAGUCCAAACAAGUCCUGAUCAAGGGUUGAGAAAUCCUUUGUCUGAGGGACACAGAUGGACAAGGCCAGGGGCAACGAGAGAGAGAUAAACCGGGGCUUAAUGGCCAGGAAGCAGUCUUUUGUGUGGGCUUAUCUCGAGGAGGAUAGCCAUCUCAGGGGGUACUGCACAUGACUGUUACCCAAGCACCCAGGAAUGCCACAUUGGCAGAAGAAGGAUAAAAAAAAGGGACGAACAACCAGAAGAGGGAGGUUUUCUGACAACAGAUUCCUCAUGAAGAAGAGGUUUCUGACAACAGAUUCCUCAUGCUGGAGAGAGGUUUUCUGACAGCAGAUUCCUCAUGAAGAACAAGAAGGUUUCUGACAUGAGAAGCCUCACGACCUGCCUCUCCCUCCUGGACUUGCUCUGUGCUCUACCUGCUUGCUGCCUGAGGCCAGCCACUCUGCUGCUGCUCUCCCCCCCAAGAAGGUGUCUACCAUCAGAUCCCUCACUACGAAAGGCCUGCAUGCUGACGGACUGUCCAGGGCCUGCUACCAGAGACCUGCUGCGUCCUCCCAGACUUCUUCCUGGACCUACUCGGUGCCUGCACCUUCUUGCUGCCUGAAACCGGCCACGCUGCUGCUGCUCUUCCCCUGCGCUUUUGACCCAGACCGUCAGAACGUUGUGCAAUGGGACUGCUGCCAGAUCCUGGUGGUGACUAUCCUUGCUUUACACAAUUCUUGCCUCUUUCUAUCUUUUCUAUCGCCCGCCUUCCCUUCCCUAUCACCCUAAAUCAUCCAUCCUCCCCUUCCCCAUCUUCCUGAUUAAGAUCUGUAAUAAACAGGCUGGAGCAACAUUUGAACCGUUGUUUCUUAAUCUCAUGCCGGGUAUACAUAUAUCAAAGAACCUCCUCUCCCUCCUACAAAUUGGAGUGAGACGGUCAUGUGGAAUUGCUGAGUGACAUAUGUCUAGUGAGAGAGGAUGCCAGUAACUGCAAAGGCC
ensembl:lncRNA